GACGAACGCUGGCGGCGUGCUUAACACAUGCAAGUCGAACGGUGAAGCGCUUGCCUUUUUGGUGGGUGUGGAUGAGUGGCGAACGGGUGAGUAACACGUGAGUAACCUGCCCUCUUCUUCUGGAUUACCUCAUGCAAGUGGGGCUAAUACGGGGUAUUCCGAGUCUGUCGCAUGGCUGGUUAGGGAAAGAUUUCGCCUUUGGGAUAGUUCGGUGGGGGCUGGGCUCGCGGCCUAUCAGCUUGUUGGUGUGGUGAUGGCCUACCAAGGCGGGGACGGGUGGCCGGCCUGAGAGGGUGGACGGCCACACUGGGACUGAGACACGGGCCAGACUCCGGCGGGAGGCAGCAGUGGGGAAUAUUGCACAAUGGGCGCAAGCCUGAUGCAGCGACGCCGCGUGAGGGAUGGCGGCCUUCGGGUUGUGAACCUCUUUCGCCAGUGAAGCAGGCCUGCUCCUGUGUGGGUGGGUUGACGGUAGUUGGAUAAGAAGCGCCGGCUAACUACGUG
rnacentral:rRNA from 1 species